AGCGAACGUUAGCGGCGGGCCUAACACAUGCAAGUCGAACGCGAAAGGUCUUCGGACUGAGUAGAGUGGCGCACGGGUGAGUAACACGUAGGUAAUCUACCCUUUGGCGGGGGAUAACGUUCCGAAAGGAGCGCUAAUACCGCAUAAGACCACGGAGUCUCCGGACGCUGUGGGAAAAGGUGGCCUCUUCUUGAAAGCUACCACCGAAGGAUGAGCCUGCGUCCCAUCAGCUAGUUGGUAAGGUAAUGGCUUACCAAGGCGAAGACGGGUAGCUGGUUUGAGAGAAUGAUCAGCCACACUGGCACUGGAACACGGGCCAGACUCCUACGGGGAGCAGCAGUGAGGAAUAGUUGGGACAAGUGGGACGAAA
rnacentral:rRNA from 1 species